ensembl:lncRNA
GUUUUACUUAAGAUGUAAAAUAUGCUUUCAGUUAAGAAAAAAAUGACUUAAUAGUAAAGUAUAGGCUCAUCUCUGAAAAUAAGUCAUAAUAUUAAAUUGAGUAAAUGUAUCUUGUUUUAAAGAUGUUUGGAUAUUGUACUGAAAAAAAAAAAGUGUAUGACUACAGACAAUCCACACAUUCACAGCCCUGAGACUGUUUGCCAUGGAAUACAGAGGGAGCUGGAGAAAGAAACCGAAUGGCAAUGCACAUACUUCAAUGUGUGCGUUUGUAUGUGUGAGGUGCUUUUGUCCCGAAGAAGCACUGGAAUGAUAAAUGGGUGUCGCUGUGGAUAGAACACCAGAUGUUGAUCUUAAUGAGGAGCCAUGCAAGUUAAACAGUGGCAGGCAUAUGGGGCGGAGGGGACCCGAGUUUACCCCUCUCUCUCUCUUCCUCCAUAUGCUUAUUUGUAUCUCCUCCGUUAUGAAGUCACCCCACCUUUCUAAAGACCAACUGCAGCACCGUGUCCUUGGGGACAGUUCCUUAGCAACCGCAUCAAAACAAACAGACAGCUCGCCACUGUGAUGUAAAAUGAGAUCAAAAUGCGUGCGAAAGAAAGCCGGCAAUGCCGCAAUGGGAUUCAAGCAAAACCUACAGUGCAACAGGGGUCACUUUGUGUUUUUAUGGAGAAGGGGAGAGCGAGGAAUCGCUAUACUUCCAACACGUUUGCCAAAACAAAUGGAGAACAUCUCUUGCUCUCUCAGCUGCAAUAAUCUCAUUCCUGUUUGCAGGGGCUGCAGUGCCACAACCCUUCACAAUUGAGGAAAUGCUGAGAUCUGGAGAACAGCAUUUGGUAAACAAAACACUUACAUCUGGAAGACGACAAUAAUACAGUGAGAUGUAAGGCUGGUAUUCUUUAGAAAAAAAGAAGGCAUAAUACGAGCUGUGCUGGGUUUAAAAUGAGUCAGGCUGUGACUUGAGUGUAAAAGACCGAAGUGAAAAGGCCCGAACCUGGCAUCGACUUGUCUCCUUGUAUCUACUUUCUUGUUCAUGCCACGCUGGACAGCUGUAAUUUAACAGCGAGUGCUGUGACAAUAAAACAACUCUACAAAUCUCCAUUCCUGAAAGACCUUUCCCUUGUGACCAGAAAACCAGCAGCUGAGAAAUCCGCUCAUCUCCUCAAUAGAUCCUUUCUGUACGAGUGGCUACACUGCAAAAAAAUCAAUUUAUUAAUCAAGGUUUUGUCAUGUUAUCCAAAAUAAAUAUCUAAACAUCCUUAAAAGCAAG